rnacentral:rRNA from 1 species
AUUGCUAAUAACCGACCAUAACAACAAAAGACCACAUAGCCGUUUGUCUUUGAAAGAUGGCUUUGACUAUCACUCUGGGAUGGACCUGCGGUGCAUUAGCUAGUUGGUAAGGUAACGGCUUACCAAGGCGAUGAUGCAUAGCCGAGUUGAGAGACUGAUCGGCCACAAUGGAACUGAGACACGGUCCAUACUCCUACGGGAGGCAGCAGUAGGGAAUCUUCCACAAUGGGCGCAAGCCUGAUGGAGCAACACCGCGUGAGUGAAGAAGGGUUUCGGCUCGUAAAGCUCUGUUGUUGGAGAAGAACGUGCGUGAGAGUAACUGUUCACGCAGUGACGGUAUCCAACCAGAAAGUCACGGCUAACUACGUGCC